CCCGCCCCGUCGGUUCAGUCUGGGCCUGCCACACGCACCUGUCGGUGUGUGGUGUGCUCCCGACCCUCGCUGGGCGAGCGGGACCAGCGCUGCUCCCGGGCCCGCGCCCGACCGGUGUCCGACCGCUCCUGUCUGCUCCUGACUAAAAUGAUCUACUUCAGAGAAGAUGACAGGCAUCAAAGAAACCCCAUAUGGGUAAGAAACUGCCCUUGCCUCAACUACUGAAAGUAAAUACACUAUCCAUUCUGGACAAGCAAGACACAAAGAAAAGUGACUGUCAAACUUUGCAGAACACAAGAAAAGUGACCAUCAAACUUUGCCAAGCGCACAUCCACACGGGAGGAGGCAUCCUGUCAGCUCAAUUCUCAGGCACGCAGCGCGAACACUCCAUGCCCUCAGUCCAGCUGCCGGCCUGUCUUCACUAUGGUGUGAGCUGGGAUGCAGUGUGUCCCCUGUGACCUGCAGCUUCCUGCCUCCUGUGCUGAGGAUUUACAGACUCAAAAGACUGUGGAGGGUUGGAAUGCUGCAAAUCAAAAGCCAAAAUUGUCUAGGACUGUCUUUAGUCCCUUUUGUGUUCACUUAUCACUCACCUCUAUCUUAUAUGAUGUCCUCUGUCACUUUUUCUUUCUUGUUUUAAAUUUUAUUUUGUGUAUAUGGA